AAUGUUGAGGUCAGAGUUGUCACAUUCCAUACUUCCUGCUUGGCAGUUAUGGGCUUUCCCAGUGGCACUCUCAACCACUAGACACCAGCUCUAAGUGGUCACACCUAAUUUGGAGGGGAUAUGUCUGUAUCUAAAGAAAACCAUCCUCCAGGGAUAAGGGCUGAAUUUGCAAUACGAAACCCUGAAUUUCCACCCAUUUCAAACCCUGGGAAACUGGUAUGUAUCUUUUCUGAAUUUAAGUUUCCACUAAAGCAAUGGUGCCUGUUUGUGCUCUUUCUGACUUCAGACUAGCAAUAGACUGGCUAUUGGCAUUUGAUUUAAAAGGA
rnacentral:lncRNA from 1 species